GCAUUGGAGGAGGGACCGUGGAUGUUCGACAAUGACUUGCUUGUUAUGGUGGAUUUCGUGCCAAGCAAGAGAAUAGAGCAAUAUGUUUUUGAUGACAUUCCAAUAUGGAUCCGGGUGUUUGGCUUGCCACUGGGGAAGAUGGAGGAGGACACAACAGAGGACAUUGGCAAUUUGGUGGGCAAGUAUGUGGAGAUGGGCACGGGGGCCGAUGGCUCGGUAAUGGGGAGGUACCUACGUAUUAAAGUCCGCAUGCCAAUCACUAGACCAAUUAUGCGAGGCUUUUACGUGGACGAGGAGGUGGAGAGCGAUGAGGAGAGGAUGGAGGAAGGACAGAAGAAGAAGGAAGAAGAGAGGCCGUUUUGCAGUUUUGAAUACGAGUUCCUUCCAGACUUUUGCUAUAUGUGUGGGAUGCUGGGGCAUGUAGAUAAGGGUUGCUCGGUGAGACUGAAGAAGGGGGAGAAGGCUCAGUACGGGAAAUGGAUGCGAGCAAAUAUGGGGAGACGCAGGGGGGAUGAAGGAAGACUGUGGAGGAGCAGCUUGCAUGGCAGCGGAAGUGGGAGUGGUUCAGGAGGAGGGAGGAGUUUUGGUAGUGGAAGGACAGGGGGAAGAUCAAGGAGUGAUAGCCUCACAUGGCGUAAACCGGAUUCUCGGUCGACCGGAGGGAGGACGGAGGACGGGAGUGUCGGUGUCAAAACCGGCGGAUCUCGGAUAGGGGGUCCUGAACUAUGCAUCUAA
rnacentral:rRNA from 1 species